rnacentral:rRNA from 1 species
CAAUAGCGUAUAUUUAAGUUGUUGCAGUUAAAAAGCUCGUAGUGGGAUUUCGGUUAAGAGCGACCGGUCCGCCGUUUGGUGUGCACUGGUUGGUUUUAACUUCCUGUAGAGGACGUGCUCUGGGUUUAACGACCUGGACUCGGAGUCUACGUGGUUACUUUGAAAAAAUUAGAGUGUUCAAAGCGGGCUUACGCUUGAAUAUUUCAGCAUGGAAUAACACUAUAGGACUCCUGUCCUAUUUCGUUGGUCUCGGGACGGGAGUAAUGAUUAAGAGGAACAGUUGGGGGCAUUCGUAUUUCAUUGUCAGAGGUGAAAUUCUUGGAUUUAUGAAAGACGAACUUCUGCGAAAGCAUUUGCCAAGGAUGUUUUCAUUAA